UACGUAGGCAGCGAGCGUUGUUCGGAGUUACUGGGCGUAAAGGGUGUGUAGGCGGUUGUUUAAGUUUGGUGUGAAAUCUCCCGGCUCAACUGGGAGGGUGCGCCGAAUGCUGAAUGACUUGGAGUGCGGGAGAGGAAAGUGGAAUUCCUGGUGUAGCGGUGAAAUGCGUAGAUAUCAGGAGGAACACCGGUGGUGUAGACGGCUUUCUGGACAGAUACCGACGCUGAGGCACGAAAGCUAGGGGAGCAAACAGG
rnacentral:rRNA from 1 species